rnacentral:rRNA from 1 species
UACGGGGGGGGCAAGCGUUGUUCGGAAUUACUGGGCGUAAAGGGCGCGUAGGCGGCCGAUCAAGUCGGGGGUGAAAGCCUGUGGCUCAACCACAGAAUUGCCUUCGAUACUGUUUGGCUUGAGACCGGAAGAGGUUAGUGGAACUGCGAGUGUAGAGGUGAAAUUCGUAGAUAUUCGCAAGAACACCAGUGGCGAAGGCGGCUGACUGGUCCGGUUCUGACGCUGAGGCGCGAAAGCGUGGGGAGCAAACAGG